UCACGAACCAGACGCCCCCUGGAGGCAAUUUGACUUACAAGCUCUAUUGAAACCCAGAAACGGGCAUAUGAGACCUCAAAGCCUGUUCAUGACUGAUUUUGCCAUUGAAUAUGUUAAUUGGGUUUUUUAAAUUUUUUUUUAGAAAACCCCAACUAACAUAUUCAAUGUAUUCAUAUUCAAACGACGGCAGCGGCGCCCGGAUCCAGCCAGACCAUCCACCAGGAUCAACGCUUGGCGCCAACGGCCUGAAGGGAGGUCCCACUGCGCUUUGAGGAGCUGACUUUCGAUCAGCUCCCUCAUUUCUGCAAGUUUUGGUCCCCCUGGGACGGACGAGCAACCGCUUAGCGCUGUACCUGUGCUUCUUUUCUUCCACCUACUUAGGUCCGGCCUGAGAGAGAGGGAGGAUGGCCACAGGAGUGCAGCCAGGAGUCCGACGCCACAACGCCGUCCGAAUGACACUCCAAAACAACGGAGAAGGGGGCAGCGGUGCUAGUGGCCCCACCCAGGUGGCACAGGGGGCGAAGGGCGCAGCCGUAGGGGGCGCUGCUGAGCCAGCAGCUCCUGGGGGGGCAAGCAAUGCCACUGCCCCCAACGUCAACAGGAGAGUGAUAGGUUUGACCCUCCUAGAAUUUAGUGCUCCAGCGAGCUAUGGGCUUUGUGCCUGGCGACCUGAACUGCCUGGUGAAGGUUCCGGGUAACGCAGAUAUCUUUGAAAUAAGUUUUAGGACUGCAAACAUCCUGGAGAGGUUCUGGAACCUCUAUAGAGAGGGGAAGGGUAAGGCUCCCCUCAGCAAUUUCGAUGUAGAGCCCCUGUCCGACACGGAAAACAAGGUGGUCACUGUACAGUUCUAUAAUGAGGCUGUACAGGACCACGACGUGAGUACGUGGUUGGGCAGGUAUGGUCUUGUUAAGUCCGAAGCCCGGAGAGUCCUUGAUGAGGACGGAGUCUGGACCGGAGCCAGGAAAUGGCUGGUCCAACUCAAACCUGACCCCUCUGCACCAGGGGGGGUAUGCCACAUCCCCAGCUCUAUCACGCUGGGGAGACAUAGGGGUGCGGUGUUCUAUUACGGCAUGCCCAAGCUGUGCAGGAACUGCGGCGAGUUAGGUCACUUAGCCGCGGCCUGCACAGUGGUCAAGUGCAAGACGUGUGGUGGCGAGCACGAGACCAGGGCAUGCCGUGACCCAAAGCCCUGUAACCUCUGCGGAGCGAGGGGGCAUCUCUUUAGAGACUGCCCCCUCUCGUACGCGAACAGGGCUAGGAGCACCGUGCCCCCUCCACCAUCUGCUGCCCCCCCUCCGGCUCCACAGCCUCCCCCGCCUACCCCCAUGCCACGCACCAGACCACCCACUCCUACCCCUUCCCAGCCUGGAAGCCCACCCCCACAAGCACAGACCACAGCACAAGACCCUACUCUCGGUAUCACCACCCCUGGAACCCCCAACUCCACAGUGCCCCCUGCCGAACUAGGUCCCACCAACCCCGUCACUGUCAAGGAGGAGCCUGACUCCGACACCCCCAUUGUGGUGUUGGAGUCAGACUCCUCAACAUCUGAAUCUGAUUCCAUCACACCUUGGCAAAAAAUCAAAAAAAGAAAGGGCAAACGUAUCAGAUCCCCAACCUCAAUAAUACAAGAACCCCCCAUCCAACCUCCCAACCCAGCAAUAGUCCGCCAAAAAACGCACACAACAAAAACACCAAAACAGUUAUCCUCAAAACCGGAACAUAGACAACAACCUAUAGCCAGGCCUGAGCCCCCUCCCUGCCCUACAAAACCAUCUACGCCACCGCUCAUACAUCACAGAGAAACACUACAGAAUACCAUCACUGCCCACGCUAGAAUCGUUAGGGACCAGCCAGCCUCCGGUCCAGACCCUGUUAAAGGGACUGGAGCAUCACCCUCCUCUCAGGGCCCUCCAGGGACUGGGGGGAAGCCUGGGGCAAGAACACCUGCCCCCACCUCUCCAGGACGGAACCUCCCAGGCAGUCAGGAGGGGAGGCCUGGGAGUGCACAUGGUCCGGGGGUGAGUAGGCGCCUCAAUAAUCAGGACAUAGUAAAUCAAAAACUCAAUAAAAUCUGCAAAGACAUAGCAAACAGUAACAUUGGAUCAUAAAUCAUACAAAACAAUAAAAUUCAUGACACAUUCAUUAACAAUUUCAUCAUUAAACACACGCAGCAUCAAAGACCCUUCCAAACGCCACACAGUAUUCUCCAUUCUGUCUCAGGUUCCCUCAGACGUCAUCCUGCUCCAGGAAUGUUGGAUGGCGUUCUGGGGGAAGAAUGGAGAAUGGGAGACUCUCUCUGGUCUGGCUGCAACAUCGCCAGAGCUGAUGGGGUCGGCACGUUGGUGAAAAAUCCCUUUGUGCGAAUAACAUCUAGCAACAUCAUAGAGAGUGGGUGAAUCCUUGUCACCGAUCUCGAGGUCGGGGGUUCCCCACUCAGGGUCAUCAAUGUGUACGGCCCCACCAGCGUGGCCGAGAGGGUCUCCCUCUUUACAAAAUUAUCACCACUUUUACAUUGCACAAUGCCGGUUGUCGUGGGGGGGGAUUUCAACUGUGCUUUAACAGAUGAGGACCGCAGCAGACCCAGACGGGACCGUUCCAGUGACCUGCUGCGGUCCCUCAUAGAGGAUUUCUCCCUCCGCGACGCCAGGGGCGCCUCUCCCCCCCCAACACACGUGGAGAUACCAUCAAGCUCUUGGGGGUGACCUUCCAGGCUGACGGAGGAGGGCGAACGAGCUGGGAGGGAGCCCUACGCCACGUCCAAAACAAAACCCGGAGCUGGAGUGCACGGCCCCUGACCAUGGCGGGUAAGAUCCUUGUCCUGAAGGCAAUUGUCCUGCCCAUUCUUCUGUAUGUGGGGAGGGUGUUUCCCCCAUACAAGGCCACCAGCAAGCAAAUUGCUAGGUUGGCCUUCUGCUUUGUCUGGGGGAGCAACAUGGAAAAACUGAGUAGAGCCACCCUCCUCAAAGAGGAGAGGAAUAGGGGGCGGGGGGUCCCGGACAUAGUCAAAAUCAUUAUGGUGCAAGGUCUGGCCGCUCUGGUCCAGAACGCUGGGAAGGUGGGAAAGGCCUCUGGUGCCUUUGCUAGGUACUAUGCCACCCCCUUCCUACGGGCAAUGGGCCUGGGUGUGCUGGACCUCACCAUACCGUAUAGCUGGGACCCCCCCUAUGUCUAUCAGGCCCUGAAGGACUUUGCUUUCAGGACGGGAUUGCCCAGGGCUGGCCUGACUUCGUGGAGCUAUAAAAUCAUUAUGGCUCAUUUAAAAUCAAACGAGACUGCCACGCUCCCGAGGUCAGGGCCGGCCCGGGACCCGCAAGUCAUCUGGGCAAAUGUGACACACAAGUGUCUUACCAACAAACAAAAAGACAUUGCCUGGAUGACAGCUCACGGGUGUCUCCCCACAAGAAUUUUUAUGUACCGCAGGCACUUAGCCCUCACUGAGCGCUGCCCCCACGGUUGCACUGACUCGGAACACAAUUUCCACCUGUUCUGGGAGUGCACCGUGGCUAGGCAGGUCUGGGUCUUGUUUCCUCUGUCUCCCAUAACAGGUUGCUGGCGAGGUCCUCCCUGACGGCUGAGAGCGUUCUCUACGGUCCCCGAGAGGGACUCAAAACCAUGGAGCUCCAGCGUCAGUGGGGGAUCGUCAAUACCAUCAAACAGGUCCUGUGGGAGACGAGGAACAUCAAGGUCUACCAGAAAACAACUGUGGACCUGGUCACUCUCCGGAGGAGGAUUCAAAACCUCCUCCAGGACGGUGUUCUGGUGGACUUUCGUAAAAACAAGGACCUGGCGAGAGAGGGGGGUGGACCACUGGAAAGAAUCAUAUAGUCCACCCCCCUAGGAGGGGCACCCGCUCUUCACCCCAUCCCGAGCACACGUAUUGUUGUUUUUCCUUUCACAUUUUAUUUAUUGUGAAUUCUUAAAACAAUUAUUGUCUUGGUGAGUGUUAGUAUGGAUACAUGUAUUAUUGAUUUGCAAAUUUGCAAAAAUGUUUUCCCUAUGUUAUCCCUUUGAGUGUUAUUAUGUUUCGUAAUUUUUGUAAACGUCUAUGUGCUUUUGUUCCUGUUUUGAUUUUUUAAAAAAGGAAUACAUUUUACAAAAUGUAAAAUGUUAAAAAAAACCAUUAAAGAUAACAUAUUCAAUGUAAUAUAUAGACUUUUUAAAAAGAUCUUUUAAAGACCAAGGGCAUAUAAAACAACAAAACAUUUUUGAUCAAUAUUUAUAAGGUAGGCCGAAAGAGAACUGCUGAAAUACUUGUGUAGCCUAUAUCCAGAGUUAAGAACAUCAUCUUGCUAGCAACUACUUCUAGCUAUUGCCCGUUAUCUUUCUCGUGUUUAGCACGAGGUAAACUUUAAUUCGAUUUUUUUAGUUUACCAAUAGGGGGACACGUGAAGUUUUUGGCAACCCAGUGACCGAUUCUCAACGUCACCGUGACCACGUUUUCUGGAUUGGGUGAAGUUAAAAGACACUAACCGUUUCGAGUUGUUUUAAUUCCCAUAAUUUUAGCCAUUCCGCUCAUAUUUGUGUUUUUUUUUUAUUUUUAGAAUACAGUAAUUAGGCGAGGUGAAGAAUUUAUUUCAGUGAAGCAAAGGUGAGUGGCUCUUGUGGUUUUACUUAGGUGAUCCUGCAAAACUAACUGGCUACCUAGCCUAGCGUGUAAGGAGUCGAGAUAGAUUACGUCAGGUGACUGGUUUGUUGGUCCAUUAAAAAAAUAAUAAACAAACCAUUGCGUAUUGUUUUAUAUAUUAAGCAUGGAUGUAUCUUAAAUUGUUUCGUAAAACAUUGGAUGUAGCUAGGUGAGCUUACUGGAUCAGUAACGAGUGGAGAAACUGUCAAGUAGCAGGCUGUUUUGAUAGCUAAUGUCAUUACCAAAUAGCUAUAUGUAAAUGACCGUUACAAAUUAAUAUCAGAAAAAUGCUUCACAUAUAAGCGUUGUUGUUGAUUCCAUAUGUUCAUCCACCAGGUAUGUAAACCAACUCAGGCUAACUGUUUAAUCAGAGACUGUAAAAAAUAUGUUUAAUCCGCUAGCUCUAUCGUGCAGAGAGACCAGAGACUGUAAAAAAUAGAGACAGAGCGCAACGCGUCAUACUCUAAAAACCACGCCCACCGGAGGGGAAGACAAUCGGCACCACAAUAUGCAACCAAGGGCUGAAACGCUAACAAAAUGCCUGUAGCUAGCUAAAAAACAUUAGAUUUAAGCAUGUCAAAGGAUUAUUUUAGCACCUUAUGUCUACCUGCGUUAGUCUAACCCUAGCUUGCUACUUCAGUGUAGCGACAACUUUAUAACGGCAUUUGCCUUUGGCUCGGGGGGCUUCUGGUGAAACUGAUUCAGAAAUUAACCGUAGUUUAAACAUGGCAGCUAGAACUUAGCUAACGUUAGCUACUUAUUACCUGCAAUUUUAUUAACGCUAGCUAAGUGGCUAUCAUUUUAGCUCCCCCUUCUUAGCCAUCUACAAGCUUGUUGAAACAACGUCGCUAGCCAACUCCAACUUAUUUCGAAUGACAGUAACGUACUGUAUCUAGCUUGCUAGCUGACACGCCGCUAGACUCCGAUGUUAGGACAGGUUUUUCGGUUCGACAGCUUAUAAAAACGUAGUUCUGGGUUCUUUACCCAGUUGGUAGUGCAUCCCACCACACAACACCUUUUAGGCAUUUUUCUGUUGUUUGCUAGCAGAUGAAAGUGACAAGGAGGCACCUUCAUGCAAUACAAAGUCAAUGGAGAGCGAUGAAUUGUUUUCCCCUCCGGCGUGGGCGGGACUUAAUUGCGCUUUGUAUGUGGCCCACCGGUGGAACACGUGUAGGUUUCCGGCCUGGUUAUGAUGUUUCUGAGUGGAAGGCAAAAACGUGCUGUUACGCUAAAUUGUUUUCCUCCAUUGGCCGUUUUUACCUUCUUGCUUAACCCCAUACACCCUGCUCAUGCUUUGUUUAAUCUCCUUCCCCAUCUUUCAAAAUCCAUCAAUCUCCCUACCACUCCUUCAUACUUAAUUCUGUAUUUUUCUUCCUAAACAGGCAUUACUAAAACGAGGAGUUAUAAAAGGAUUUGUAAUAGGUGGGUCUCAGGUAGGGUUGGGAGGUUUAUGGGUAUUGUUUUAAAUUGAGAUUAAAUUUCUUAUUAUCACAUCGGGUGAGGAAGUGCUGUUUCUAUUUGUGGUUUUUUUCCACAUUGGGGGCACAGUCCCAAUUGAGCUUGUAAGUCAAAUUGCCUCCAGGGGGCGUCUGGUAAAAAUUUUUGACGUGUAUCCGUGCGACUUUGAUUUAGCGUAGUUCAGGACCACCAACAGAUCGUAAAUCGACAUAAAUCCGUUUUUUUCCCUCCAGAGAUUGAAAUAAAUAUAACCAAGCACAUGCUAUGGCAGAGAAUGACGGUCCCAAAAAAACGUGAGAAAUCCUUUAUUUUUAAUCGCUAUAGAUAUUUUACAAUCAGUGAUUUUUAAAAAGUCAAUAGGAUUUUAACAUUGGGCUGUGACGUCACGAACCAGACGCCCCCUGGAGGCAAUUUGACUUACAAGCUCAAUUGCGGGCAGCCAAGUGUGCCAUUGGUGGCUGGUCGCUAGAGAGCAGAAACGUUGCCGCCCACUUUUUCAGCGGCCCUGGUUCCGGAAGUACAUUUCCCAUUCAUUUUCUCCAUAGACAUUUCAGAAAGACGCUAGAUAAUAUAGUUUUCAGUCAUGAACCGAACCAUCCAGGUAAAAGAUGAGUCAUGACGUUAUAAAAAUUAUUCAGAGCCAAAAAUAUCUUUGAAAAAAGAAAAAAGGCGAAGGUACAAGACUGUGUACUUAACUUUAAAGAGUUAAAGAGGGAAUUAACUUCACAUCCCAUAGAGCAUUGCGAAUGAUGCAAUCGUAUCCCUUUCCCCUCACUUUCAAUCGGUUUCAGCCAAAAAAAAAAAUCUAUCGGUUUCAACCGCAUUUAGGUUAAUUAUUUUUUAUCUUUAGUGAUUUCUUGUACUUAGCGUUAUAGUCUAAUGUUUUUAUAUUAUAUCGUUCUGUACUGUAGUCCCUGACCUUUGUAUCGUUUGCUAGUAAAGCUGUACUUUCGUUUAAGCUAAAGAAGCUACGCUUCAGCUUCGUUGCCACGCAGUCAUGGUUAACGUUAGCUCGAUUUCUAACAGAUCAGAUGACAUUUCUACAAAAAGUAACAUGAAUACUUAUCUUUUCUGACUAUGUGAAACAGUUCAAAUUAACCGAGAUGGUGGCUAUAAAAAUCAUUUUUUUGUGUGGAAUGAUAUGGAAUAAAAACAGCUAAUGUGAUUUUAUUUGUGUGAGCACGAAUACUGGGAUGAGGGACACAUUGGAUCUGAUAAAGAUUAUUCAGGAAAAUAAGUUUUUUUUGUUGUUGUUUUUUUAAAUGCAUGACUCAGAAGAAACACAUAAUAAAUGCAAGAGAAACCAUGUUUUUUUAUUAUAAAAGAUGAUUCAUUUACAUCAAGGCAUAGAGAUCAUAACGACAAUAAACACCUCUUAACAUACAAGGCACACUAGAUAAGAAAGAUAAAUAAUAUAAAAUAAUAAUAUAAUAACAAAUAAUAGAGAAUAGAAAAUAAAUAAAAUUAUUUUGUUAAAAAAAAAUAAAAAAAAAAACAUUACAAUAAUAAUAAGUCUGUACUCUUCCAUAGUUGCUCUAGGGGUCAUCAUAUAUUUUCAGUUCUUCAUAAGCUCUGAGGAGAGACUUGGCAUGUUUUCCUUUCAUUGGUUUUAAAGCACUGAGAUGAUUGUCCACAAGGUCCCUUCUAAAAACAGAAAAAAGGGGUUUCAUUUUCCUCCAUUUGGAUGUGUGGAUGAAAAAUUUCACCAGGAGUAUCAGGUUGUUCAAAAUCAGGUCACUCUUAAUGUCCUUCAUGUUAAUACCAAACAAUAUUUUCUCUUGUGAGAGGAGCAAGUAGUUUGGUUGACAGCCAGUCCAGCAAAUCGUCCCAGAAUGUCACAUACAGUAGGCUACAUACAGUGGAAAAACAGAUGAUCAGUAGUUUCAAUUUCAAUUUUACAAAAGCUACAGUUAUUUUGAUUAACAUUAAAUCUCAGUCUUAGCAGUUGAUUGCACGGAUAUUAUUCAGAAUUUUGAAGUGGACUUCUUUUGUCCUGGGGCUUACAGGAUAAGUAAUAUAGUUAGUUCUCCAUUUCUUAAUGUCUGACUCUGAAAACAGUUGGAUGACGGAGUUUCAAUUUGAUUGUAUUGGGUACAGUAUAUUGUUCAGGUGAUUACGUACCAAUUUGUUUGAAUUUUUCUCAUCCAGAAAAUCAUGACCAUUAAAUUGAAGCACAGGUAAAUUUAUAGCACACAACUGUUUAUCUAUGUUUUGGACUAAUAGUCUAACUGAAACAGGGAUUGCUUUGAUCACUCUAUCAAACUGAGCACGUGUGCAAACUGUCGUAUUUCAAGCAGAAGUUUUCAUAAGAUAGCCAGUAUCCCUGGUCAUUAAUUAGAUGGGUUAUUGACCAGAUAUUUUUUUCCAUCCAAUGCCGUAAGUAAAGAGAUUUGCCAUUACACAGCACAUACCUGUUGUUUCAAAUGGGGGUUUGAUGUGGGGUGAAAUUAUGCGUGUACAUGAGCUUCCAGCAUAACAAUACUUGUUUGUGAAAUAAGGACAGUUUGAUUGCUAAUUUUUAACCUGAAAAUCACAUUUAAGAACAAACUCUAUACUGCCCAUUUUUUUCAACAAUCCUCUGGGGAGACAAUACCAAAUACAAUUUUUGUUCAGCAAGAAAGAUUUUAGCCAUUUUGAUUUCAACACAGCAUCUAAGCAUUCAAAAUCAAUAGCUUGCGAGGCUCGGCGUCUCUCCAGUUUUUGCAAAUUAGCAGUUAUCUACCUACUCGUUUUAAGUCUGUUCACUCAGAACAGUUUUGCAUGUGUCAUACACCCGACAAAAACUUUUGGAUAUUGGAUUACACAACUCAGACAACUUUAUUGGCGAUCUCCGGCUCUAAACUGAGACCGUCAGGACACCGGAGGCUAUCAACCUGGCCCCGCCGGCCGGAAGCGCUUGCAGGCAGCAUCGAGACCGAAAACAAAAGCAGGGGAUGAGAGGAGGGCUAAGGGUUAAGCUAAGGCUAACUCCUCAUUGGCUAUCUCUACCCAGCAUUUUCCUCGCCAAUGUACGGUCUCUAGCGAACAAGAUGGAUGAACUGCGACUGCGGAUCACCACUCAUAAAAGGAUUACGGACUGCAACGUCAUGAUUUUUAUGGAAACUUAGCUUAACAGCGGCGUUCCCGAUAGCGCAGUUGAGCUACCGGAGCGCUACAUCCUCAGGGAGGAUAGAACAGCUGAUGACUCCAGUAUGACCAGAGUUUUCGGGAGGGAGAGACGUGGCGGUAUCAAAGACCUGGGUUUGAGGCACUGCUGGUGGAACAGCUGCAGAGGCAGCAGUGCAGGAGUGAGUUCUGUGACACCGUGCUGCAGUCGGAGGGAUGGCUUCCCCAUCAUUAAAAGACAGAAGGGUCGCCCCAGGGCACGGCCCCUACCUUUCCCUGCCCUCUCCCACCACCUAUUCAAAGCCCUAACCCUCUCCCCUCCAUCUGACAACCCCCUCUUAAACUCAUCUAUCCCUUUCCCUCCUACUCUUGGCCCCACCCUUAACCUUAGCCCCACCCCUAACUUCCUGCACACCCUGCCCCUGCCCCCACCCACGCCAGUUGGGGUGGCCGAAUCAGACAAGCAGAUUGAAAAGCUGCUGGAGAAUGUCAUGAUGGAACUCCCACCCACCAUCCCUGUUGUCACAGAGACCAAGGGCAGCCACAGCAAUGGCCUCAACCACAAAAGGUUUCGCCAACCCCAUGUAGAGGCUGCUACCACCAAAGUGACAGCUGCUGGUCCCACAGUGUUGGCUGAAACAGUCCUUCCUCUCUCCUCUCCCUGCGGCACACUUGAACAUCAUGGCAGCACAACUACAAUGGGUGAACUGAAUAACAUCCUGGAUAGCUUCUUGUGGACAUUUGAAAACCAGAUGUCCAUGCAGAGCAUGGGAGAGACAGCUGUAAUGGAAGCUGGGAAUGACAGGAACACCGGAAAUGCCACACUCGGACUGUGCAGUGAGCCGGGAAGCUGCCUGGCUAUUACUAGUGAGUCUGGUGCAGGAGAAGCUAAUCCACACUCAGACCCUAACAGAACUGAGCCAGCCUUGGCUGACAGACCCAUAGGGGAUGCAUCUCCUGUAACCGGGCCCGUUUCUGGUUCUGAGCCCGUUGUGAGCAGUGGCCUUUCGUGGAAAGAGGUCCACUCUGAACCGUCUUGCCCUUGCCCAGAAUCCCAGUGUGUCCCAGCCACAGAAUGCUUGCAUGCAAUUCUGGAAUAUGCCCCCACACCCCAGAGAAAAGGGAGAAAGACAGGGCAAGUCCCCCCAAAACCUGAGCGGCCACUGGAAGGAGCUGCACACCAGCCAGUGGGAUUGCAGCAACAAUUAUUUGGAGAUUCUGAUAGUUGGAGUAUGCUACAACCUUCACUGCCACUCCCAAAGUGGCCGUCGCCCCACCCUGUGGCGCUACAGUUCCCAUUGAGCUCAAUCAAAAGACCUAGUGCAAACCACCCAGUGGCACGCUACCUAUCAAUUGGAUUACAAAACCCACAAUGCCACGAUGUCAGUCGUCUGAAGAAGUUGGACGUCCAAUGUGGCCUCACCCAAAGGCUUGCUGGGCGUUGUAGUCCAGGGAGUUUAUGUCCAGAGAAGAGAGGAAGUUGUAGGACAAUGCAGGUUGUGGACAAAAAGAGGACUGUGAUCAGGAGGCAGGGCCAGGAAAGGGAGAGUGCAGAAGAAGAAGAGGAGGAUGGUGAUGAGGAGGAAAGAAUGGGGAAUUCCAGCCAGAGAAGAAGAUCUCUGAAAAGACGUAUUGAUAGUCCCACACAAGAACAAGAAACAACAGAUUUGGAGACAUGGAAAUCCAAAGCAAAGCAGGUGAAAUAUGAGGCCAGUAGUGCAAUUUUGCCUGGGAUGGGGGUUACAGACAGGGUGAGGUCGUUGGAGAGGAUCAGCAGCAAAGGAGGGAACGUACGGGUGGAGUCAGGUGAGGGCCUUACUGCUGGAGGAGGGGUGAGGCGUAGUAGCAGCAAGAUGCUGAAUGAGGGGACUUUAAAAGGAGGAGAUGUGAGCAUAUGUACGCCUGUCUGUCUCAUCAGACGGCUGAGCAACAGCACAGGGAGACAAAGCACGACUGGAGAAUCCCCAGAGAAACUGCCCAGAGGUGGUGCAGAGAAAUCGCCCAGAGACUGUGCAGAGAAACUUCCCAAAGGCAGUGCUGAGAAACCAUCUAGAGACAUUGCAGAGCAACUUUCCAGAGACAGGGCAGAGAAAUCUUCCAGAGACAGUGUAAAGAAACCACCCAAAGAUCACGUACACAAGAUGGAGGAAUUAACCAAUCGGACCACACUGAAGCACGAGAGCCCAACAGUCCAGACACAAAAGACUGUGGGUGGGGCCAACGUGCACACACAAGGGAGGGGGAGCGAGGGAGGUAUGGGGAGUGAGGGAGGUGUGAACGUUACAGAGGCACACUCCAAACCCAGAGAGAGAAAGGAAAGAGGGAGGCAGCUGAGAGAGAAGGGGCGAGGGUGCAGAGAAGAAGAGAGAGGGGCAGGGGUCCAGAACAGUGUGCGGAGACAAGGAGGGAAGAGGAAGAGGGAAGAGUCUGCCGCAGCAUCAGAUGUGAGGCUCAGAGCAGUGCAUGCUGGGAAAACAUGGAAUAUGAGUGAGGAAACCAGCUUGGACAUGUCUGGAACUAACAUCGAACCCAAACACAAACCCAAGAGCCAGAGACCACCGACAGGGAAAGCUCCAGGCCGAGGCACCGGAUCCAUCCUGUUCUCCGCAUUCCAAGAGAUGAGAGAACUACUGAAGCCUAAUCAUAGAAGGGAGAGAACAAAAGACAGUGGAGUGAGAGAGAGAGCGAACAAGGAGAGAGGGAGAAAGAGAAGGAUCGAGAAGGAGAGAGGGAGUGAACAGGACAAUGAGUGGGAGCCGGGUGAAAAGGAAAAGGAGGAGAUGAAAGGAGAGACAGAGAAGAAUGGAGGGAGAGAGAUGGCCAUAGAAGAAAGAGCAACUAGGCCUGGAGAUGGAACAAUAGACUGGGGCAAACUGACAGAUGGUAAAGAGAAAAAAAUGACAGACAACAAGAGGGGGGCCGCUGAACUGAAAGAACGAGGGGAUGAAAAGACACUAAAAGGAAGAGUGAUGGAUAGUGCAGGGACACAGGUGGGUGAAAACCAGAGCUUUGGAUCAGGAGAAGAGGAGGCCGAUGUGGAUGGAGAUGGCAGAGAAAAAAUAAACUGUUGUCCUUGGGACACUGCCCCCAGUGGCCAGCCAGAUGUAUUACAGUCACAGUAUAUCCCGGUAUCCAACAGAAACGCUCCAGACAUUGGGCCUGGAGAUGAGACAAAAAGAGAGGUAAUGUGGAAGCAGAGGAUGUCAUCUGUUGUAGUCUGUGAAAAAAAACUUCCUCUUUUGCGUCACCUGGCCACCCAGGUGUUACCGCCCACUCAGGUGAUACCCAGGGUCACAGAGGGAUCAGGCUUGGAGCAGGAAGAGGAAGUGGAAGUAGAUAUUUUAGAUUGUUCCCCUCUUCCACUCAUACUGAUGCCUGAGAUGUGGAUGAAGGGGCUCAAUCCCAUGACAUCAUCAGAGGAGGAAGAGGAAGGAGACAUUGAUGUGACUGGAGAAGAGACUGAUUGAGUUCCUGUUCUACUCCAGAGCCCCCCCUACCCCCAUCCUCCAUCCGCCUCUCCUCCAAACUGCACUUGACCAGCAUGACCAAUGCCUGCCACAGGAAGUGUGUGCCCCCCCACUACAAGGAAGCAGAGCUUUCUAAGGGAGAGGCUGUGUGCCUGGACCGCUGUGUAGCCAAGUACUUGGAA